rnacentral:lncRNA from 1 species
CAAUGAGGCAGUCACCAAUGCAGAAGAUCAAAUCAGGAAGAGGAAUACACAAGCUAUAUGUGCAAACUUUCAGGAAGCCAUUAUGAUGUGCUACAAUGAAAAUAAACAGCAAGUGCUAAACUGCUCAGAGCUAGUCAAGGAAUAUCAGCGUUGUGUUAGGCUAGCACAAAAGGAAUUGUUGGUCCAUUUUGAUUAAAAUCCAACUGCUAACACAGGUGAAGACAGCAGAAGUUCUUCAGAGG